GACAGAGGGUGCAAACGUUGUUCGGAAUUACUGGGCGUAAAGCGCGUGUAGGCGGCAAGCCAAGUCGGGUGUGAAAGCCCUGGGCUCAACCCAGGAAGUGCAUUCGAUACUGGCAAGCUAGAGUCCCGGAGAGGAUGGUGGAACCCUCGGUGUAGAGGUGAAAUCGUAGAUAUUCGCAAGAACACCAGUGGCGAAGGCGGCUCACUGGCCCGAAUACUGACGCUGAGGCACGAAAGCGUGGGGAGCAAACAGG
rnacentral:rRNA from 1 species